rnacentral:rRNA from 1 species
UACGUAGGGUGCAAGCGUUGUCCGGAAUUAUUGGGCGUAAAGAGCUCGUAGGCGGUUUGUCGCGUCUGCUGUGAAAACUCGGGGCUUAACUCCGGGCCUGCAGUGGGUACGGGCAGACUAGAGUGCGGUAGGGGAGACUGGAAUUCCUGGUGUAGCGGUGAAAUGCGCAGAUAUCAGGAGGAACACCGACGGCGUAGGCAGCGCCCCUGGACGACACCUGACGUGAGGCACGAAAGCUGGGGGGAGCGAACAGG